CGAGAGGGACACAGAGAGACCGGCGCUGAGCGGCAGAGAGGCAGAAAGAGCGCUAGAAGCCAGCAAGGCAUCUGGGGAAGGGAAGCCGCACAGCUCGAGAAACAGCAGCCCCAGUAGUGUCUCCCCUCUACGUCACAGAGUGUGCGGUCCCAUGACCUGAGCCCCACGAGCGCCACCCUCUGUCCCCCGAGACCAGGGCUCCGCCGGGACAGCAGCCCCACAGCCCGCGACGCGGCGGCCUGGGGGCAGAGAGGAGUAUCAUCACGCGCGGUUCGGCAGAUGAGUCGCUCCUUCCUCCCAGCUCCCCCUCAGCUCUGCUCUCACCAUGGAACUCAGUUCACUGACGUCAGCUUCCCUCUCCCCUCACCCCAUCUCUCCUCUCUCCCUUAUCUACUCUCUCCUUUCCCCUCUCCCCUCUCCUCUCUCCUCUCUCCCUGCCCCUCUGAUUUUAUACUGUUUAUAAUCCACUUUGUCUGCUUCACACCUGGAAGCACGAAUGAAGUCAUUGAGCCUUUGUUCAUGGGGGAAGUCGACAGAGAAGGAGCAGCCUGCCUGAGGGACCGGGAGCCAGAGGAUCUGAGCCCGGACCCCCAAACAUUCUGACGCAGAACUUCUCUAGCCUGUCAGUCCACCCGGCCAGCUGCUGGACCCUCUGGGGGAGAGUGAGACCUGGUGCGGCCCGGACAGUCUGCCGGGCACUGGGUCAGCUUCCCAGAGCAGUACCUUCCCACACCCUGCCUCUUGCAGCGCCUCCUGCUGGAGAGGGAGCCCCAGCGCACUGCCACUCGGACAGGCAGCCACCAAAUCCACAGAGCGUGAAAUUGAAACAAGAGAACAGAAGCCCAGAGAAGCACACAGGGGCCCUGGAGCCAGCCGCCUCUGUCCUGGGUUGGACUAGCACUCUGGUAUCCCAGCAGCCCCCUCUGCCAGGACUUGCCACACAGAUGCUGACCCUCGGGGCUCCCGUGGAAAAUACAGGCAGGUGCAUUUAAAACCGAGAGCUGUGGGAGUGUGGAGCAAACGCCCAAGCCCUGCUGUUGAAGCCGAAGCCCUUUUUCUUUCAGGAAUGAUCCGGGUGAGACCCUGGGAUCAUUCAGCUUCUAACUGCUAAACACAGGUCGUUUGCCACCUUUCUUCUGUUCCGAGACGCGAAGCCGGACAGCUUCAGGCCGGACAGCAGGGCCGAAAGGAGGACACAAGAGGGCGCUCAUUCCCGAGGCCUCAGAGCCGCUGGCCAGCGGGCUGACUCUGCCCCCCUGCCCCCCUGCCCCCUCUGCCCUCGUGGGGUCCCUGUGGUGGCCGCGGGGAAGUCCCAGCAGGGCGCGCCGCUGAGCAGGGCGAGGUCACGGUACCGGACCGCGGCACAUAGCAGCGUGCGAGUUCUGGCCCGCACCCCAGAGCUGCAGAAGAAGGGUUUGCUCCGUGUCCAGAGGUUUCAAAGCCGAGCUGAACAGUGACGCGGCCCUGCCGCCCCAUCUCCGCGGAGACGCGCGGCGGAGCAGAGGAAACCGGACAUCGCACUUGUGGCCGUUUGCCCCGCGACGGUUUUGACCGGAUUUUGCUGGAAGUCAGGACAAGGAGAACAUCCUGGAGAAGUGAGAGCAGAGGGGGCUGCGUUACCCCCACAAACAGCACCCCUCGUUCCCCGCCCGCCCCGGCAAGGCCCCCCGUGGGCUCUGGGACAGGCACCCACGCCCCACUUCACUGCUGACACCCCAGCUCUAUGUAUUUUAUUUUAUUUUUGUAAUCUAUAUACUUUUGAAUUAUUCUAAUGCUGUA